CAGGGGCCUGCUUUGAAUGAAGUUAAGGCUGUAAAAACCUAGAGAGGACAAAGUACUCCUGCCCCUGCAGGAGACAAGACAAACCUGGUUGCAAAUCCCAACUCCCCAACCUGCUCAUUAGGUAACCUUGGCUUUUCACUGAGUACCAACCACGUAGUAGACAUGGUGCCAGGCUCUGGGGAUGAAGUGUGAACAAGACAGACAUGGACUCUGCCUUUAUGAAGCUGACUCAGUGGGAGAGACCCUCAAGUAAAACAGUAAAACAGCAACCUCAACAGAGAGGGAGAAGGACCUGAGUAGAAGGCUAUACAGAAAGAGCACCUGAACCAAGCAAAGAGGACUUCCUGGAGGAAGCGACAUGUCACUGAGAUUUGAAGGAUAGUUUAGCAGGGGUGAAGGAGAGUGGGGAAGAUGAAAGAGCACGUGUCAGAGAGAG
rnacentral:lncRNA from 1 species